AUCCAGCUGACAUCCCAGAUAAGAUGAAACGCGCGUCUUGGAU
rnacentral:hammerhead_ribozyme from 1 species